UACGAAGGGGGCUAGCGUUGCUCGGAAUGACUGGGCGUAAAGAGCUCGUAGGCGGUUCGUCGCGUCGGCUGUGAAAACCCGGAGCUCAACUCCGGGCCUGCAGUCGAUACGGGCAGACUAGAGUUCGGCAGGGGAGACUGGAAUUCCUGGUGUAGCGGUGAAAUGCGCAGAUAUCAGGAGGAACACCGGUGGCGAAGGCGGGUCUCUGGGCCGAAACUGACGCUGAGGAGCGAAAGCGUGGGGAGCAAACAGG
rnacentral:rRNA from 1 species